CGUUUUUGAAUAUAUGCGUCCUGAGUCUGGAUUCGUCCACUCGCCCCUCCGCGUCCAUCACUCCAGGUAGAGUGAUGCGCGCGCACGUAGACGCAGGUGAGAUCACAGGUGCGACCGACCGACAGAUGCCGUUACUCCCCACAGAAAGGCUGCACUUCAUUCCCUUAAACUUUCCAACCGGUCCAUUAGUACUGUCUGGAAGCUUUUUACAGUUCCCUUCUACAUGUGAUGUAUCACAAGAUGCGAUCAUUGUGCUAAAUCCGUUGAAGACUCAGGCAUUGAACUCGUCGUGUAGUCACGAGGUCUUCAAAACUUAAGCGAAGCUGAAACGCUGUAGACUAAAGGUCAACGUCUCCCCCUUGUGGUGAGUUGAUUUUGGCCCAUUCAUUUAU
rnacentral:lncRNA from 1 species